rnacentral:tRNA from 1 species
GGUGCUGUGGCGCAGCAGGUUAACGCCCUGGCCUGAAGCGCCAGCAUCCAAAUCUGGGGCGCCGGGUUCGAGUCCUGGCUGCUCCA